AUUUCGGGGAUAAUCUAGAAGAAUCAAAGAAAACAUAAAUGAGGCGCUAUUGAAUGGCUUAACAAAGUGAAAGGACCGCAUGCGAAAUUGACUAUUCAAGGUAAAAGACGCGGAUUCGGGCAGCGAAUCGGGUCUUAGGCGCGGAUCCCUUUCCUUUUGAAACGGCGCCGUUUCACUUGCCAUUAAAAGCCAAAGAACAAUUGAGGUCUACCAUUUUUUGCUGAAAUCUAUACCUAACCCCCUUUUUCUCCCAUUUUUCACCUUGGCCUACCUUAACCUUUCCCUGAACGCCGAUCCACCUCCCUAAUGGCGACCCGUCUUUUGGUUACUUUUCAGCCUUAGGAUCCCCUCUAUGCUUCGAUUUCGACGCAGCAAAAGGGAAUCCACAGCAUUUGGUACGAAAGGCAACGUGGAGGCGCGAGGGUGGCAUACGGAGGCGUGCAGGGGGUCGUACGGAGGCGCGCUGGAGGCUAGGGCUACGGCGCUCCUUGCUGCUAGGGUUCCUAGUUGGCUGAAGUUUGUUUAAGUUUUGGGCCAUUUGGGCCAGGGGUAUUUGGGUUUAUUUUGUAAAUGGGCUUGUAACUGGGCUAUUGGGUUGUAUUAGGUUUGGGUUUUAUAAUUGGGUUAUGUAAUUUGGACUUGUGGACAUUUAAUUUGGUUUAAUUUUUCUUUAUUUUGUAUUAUAGUGGACCCGGGCAAAUUGGCCCGCUUACAACGGUAUCGCUACAA